rnacentral:rRNA from 1 species
UACGGGGGGGAGCAAGCGUUGUUCGGAUUUACUGGGCGUAAAGGGCGCGUAGGCGGCGCAACAAGUCACUUGUGAAAUCUCCGGGCUUAACCCGGAGCGGUCAAGUGAUACUGUCGUGCUAGAGUGCGGAAGGGGCUACUGGAAUUCUCGGUGUAGCGGUGAAAUGCGUAGAUAUCGAGAGGGAACACCUGCGGCGAAGGCGGGUAGCUGGGCCGACACUGACGCUGAUGCGCGAAAGCCAGGGGAGCGAACGGG